rnacentral:rRNA from 1 species
GACGAACGCUGGCGGCGUGCUUAACACAUGCCAGUCGAACGGAAAGGCCCUGCUUUUGUGGGGUGCUCGAGUGGCGAAAGGGUGAGUAACACGUGAGUAACCUGCCCUUGACUUUGGGAUAACUUCAGGAAACUGGGGCUAAUACCGGAUAGGAGCUCCUGCUGCAUGGUGGGGGUUGGAAAGUUUCGGCGGUUGGGGAUGGACUCGCGGCUUAUCAGCUUGUUGGUGGGGUAGUGGAUUACCAAGGCUUUGACGGGUAGCCGGCCUGGGAGGGUGACCGGCCACAUUGGGACUGAGAUACGGCCCAGACUCCUACGGGAGGCAGCAGUGGGGAAUAUUGCACAAUGGGCGGAAGCCUGAUGCAGCAACGCCGCGUGCGGGAUGACGGCCUUCGGGUUGUAAACCGCUUUCGCCUGUGACGAAGCGUGAGUGACGGUAAUGGGUAAAGAAGCACCGGCUAACUACGUG